rnacentral:lncRNA from 1 species
ACAAGGGAAUAAGGUCACUGUCUCCAAGACUCAAGGGUAGAGGCAGGAACUGCUGAUGAAGAAUGAUGGAUGUGCUGUGGAAGGCAGUGAGCUUCUUGGCAGAGGAGGUAUGUCAGCAGAGGAGGAAACCAAAGCACUAAGAGCUGGAGGAAGCUGCUGGAGCCGCACCGCGGGAGAGGUGGGGUCUGCACUCAGGCGGGAGGCUCCAGGCCCACAUGCCAGGCACAAGGGAAGCUUGGAAGGCAGGCUCUGGAAUGACCCGGCCCAGCUGCCGUUGUCAGUGGGUAACUCCAGGUCACAGGCAGUGAAGCUGGGAAGAGAACAGAGCCAUCUGGAGAGCAGGACAGAUGAGGACACUCUUUGGAAUUUUCCAAGAAGUAAAAUGUGGCUACAGAGAAAUGGAACAAGUGCUUCCUCAGGGAGCCCUGGGGUGUGCUACUGUUGUCUAGUGACCAGUAUUCAACUGCUUCUCCCAUUGCCCCUCUCUCUGCUGGAUUAUUCAGCAGAUCAGCCACCCCUCAUCACACUCACAUGCUAUAAUAGCUCCACCUUCAAACAAGCAAAUACACAAAACAUCCUCUGACCAUAUGACUUUCCCAGCUACCACCCUUACUCUGCCCUACUUGACAGAAAACUUGAAAGCACUGUGCCUACUACACAUGCUGCCCCAAUCAUGUCUUGGUCCCCGUCACAUCACCCACGGCACUGGGCUGCCAAGCCCAAUGGCCAGUUCUCAGCACGCAUUUGACUUGGCCUAAAGAGAAAGGAUUGGACAUCAGAUUCCUCCCUCGCUUACACACUCUUCCCGUGGCUUCCGGGAGACUGC